CAGCCGGUGAAAGUCCGGCCCGUGGAGGUGUCAGAACCCGCAGUAGCUGGUUCCCGACGUCGGGAGAGAUCCCAGGCGUCGAAGCGGAACGACAAAGUCCCUGUCAGGGGAUGAGCAAAAGACCGGUCCGUAGCAUGA
rfam:Frankia sp. Cc1.17 contig_79, whole genome shotgun sequence.